rnacentral:rRNA from 1 species
AUUGAACGCUGGCGGCAUGCUUUACACAUGCAAGUCGAACGGUAACAGGCCGCAAGGUGCUGACGAGUGGCGAACGGGUGAGUAAUGCAUCGGAACGUGCCCAGUCGUGGGGGAUAACGCAGCGAAAGUUGCGCUAAUACCGCAUACGAUCUAUGGAUGAAAGCGGGGGACCGAAAGGCCUCGCGCGAUUGGAGCGGCCGAUGUCAGAUUAGGUAGUUGGUGGGGUAAAGGCUCACCAAGCCAACGAUCUGUAGCUGGUCUGAGAGGACGACCAGCCACACUGGGACUGAGACACGGCCCAGACUCCUACGGGAGGCAGCAGUGGGGAAUUUUGGACAAUGGGCGCAAGCCUGAUCCAGCAAUGCCGCGUGCAGGAAGAAGGCCUUCGGGUUGUAAACUGCUUUUGUACGGAACGAAACGGUUCUCUCUAAUACAGGGAGCUAAUGACGGUACCGUAAGAAUAAGCACCGGCUAACUACGUG